GGCGAUCAGAUACCGCCCUAGUUCUGACCGUAAACGAUGCCAACUAGCGAUCCGCCGAUGGAGAUUAUAUUGCCUUGGUGGGGAGCUUCCCGGAAACGAAAGUCUUCCGGUUCCGGGGGAAGUAUGGUUGCAAAGCUGAAACUUAAAGGAAUUGACGGAAGGGCACCACCAGGAGUGGAGCCUGCGGCUUAAUUUGACUCAACACGGGGAAACUCACCCGGCCCGGACACUGUGAGGAUUGACAGAUUGAUAGCUUUUUCAUGAUUCAGUGGAUGGUGGUGCAUGGCCGUUCUUAGUUCGUGGAGUGAUUUGUCUGGUUUAUUCCGAUAACGAGCGAGACUCUAACCUACUAAAUAGCUGAUACAUAUUUUUGUGUAUUCGGCUUCUUAGAGGGAUUUGCGGUGUUCAGCCGAAAGAAAUUGAGCAAUAACAGGUCUGUGAUGCCCUUAGAUGUCCGGGGCUGCACGCGCGCUACACUGGCAAAAUCAACGUGCUUGUCCUGCCCCGAAAGGGGUGGGUAAACCAUUGAAAAUUUGCCGUGAUUGGGAUCGGAAAUUGCAAUUAUUUUCCGUGAACGAGGAAUUCCAAGUAAGUGCGAGUCAUCAGCUCGCGUUGAUUACGUCCCUGCCCUUUGUA
rnacentral:rRNA from 1 species